rnacentral:lncRNA from 1 species
GAAUUUGGCAAAUAUGUAUUGAAUGAUGACUUUUUGACAAUCCACCCCUCAAAAGACUGCGUCUCUCAGACUUAACAAAUAAAAUGCUUUUGUAACAAUUUUAAGCCCAAGUAAAAAGCCAAUAGAUACCAAUGAAGAAAUGAAUAGUGUUAUGUUUAUACAAGGUUCAUUGAGCAAUAAAAUACUAGUCACGUUGAAGUGUCUCUGAAUGAAGAAUCAGGUUAAUAAUAGCUGAUUCUAUGUUUUUCAAAUGUCAUUGAUGCUAAUUAUUUUAUUUCACAGACAUUAUAUUCUUCACUCCCACUUUCAAAUUUGAGGAUUUCCACAGAUCUCUAAGAGCAAUUGGUGAAAGCAAAUUGUGUAUCAAGUCCUUCUCAGUGAUUCAGGAAGUUUAGACAACUGUUUUAUUCCAAAUUAAAGUGUGAAACUUGCACAGC